rnacentral:tRNA from 4 species
GCCCGGUUAGCUCAGUCGGCAGAGCGCAAGGCUCUUAACCUUGUGGUCGUGGGUUCGAGCCCCACAUCGGGCA